rnacentral:misc_RNA from 1 species
GUAGGUGAACCUGCGGAAGGAUCAUUAUUGAAUAAACCUGAUGUGGUUGUUGCUGGUUCUCUUGGGAGCAUGUGCACGCCCGUCAUCUUUAUAUUUCCACCUGUGCACCUUUUGUAGACCCAGAAGACUUUUUAAAGUCGUUUGGGCCUAUGUUUAUCAUAUACCCCAUAGUAUGUAUUAGAAUGUAUCAGUGGGCUUCGUGCCUAUAAACACUAUACAACUUUCAGCAACGGAUCUCUUGGCUCUCGCA